rnacentral:lncRNA from 1 species
AGAGACAAAAAAAAAAAGACUAAUUGCACUAGUUUUUAUUACAAAAUUACCAAUAUUCUGAUAAAAAUGUAUGAUUGUAUAAACUAUAACAUUAUAUACUAAAAUCUGAACACAGUAAACUAUAAACAUGACAACAAUUAUUUAUUUUUGAAAAAAAAGCAUUAUGCUAGGUACUGUCAACCUAUAUUUUUUGUUUUGUCUAAUAGAAGAUACCCUGGAAACUUUGUUAUAAAUAAUGCCAUGUUUUAUUUUCCUGUUAGAACAAAUAUUCUAUACCCUUAAUUUCAUUAAAAAUAAUUCUUGAAUAUUUGUUCCCAUGGAAAACACUAGGAACUUUUAUCACAAAGGAACUUCUAUAGUACAUCAAAAUCUAUUUAUCUAUUUCUUUAUUCAGGAUACAGUUUUUCUAUAAAAUAUUGUGGAGUCAUUUCUUGUUGGAAUUUAAAUUAGGUGUUGAGAGAAGCAGAACUGUACCGGUAUAUGUUUUGGUUUAUUGAUCAUAGUUUUGAAUCUAGUUGUUUUCGUUUCUCCUGAUUUGAAAAGAAGUAUAAUAUUUUUGAACAAAUAAAUUUGGUUGAAAUAAAUUGCAAAUUUAUUAACCAAAAUAUUACUUGUGUUUAUAUUAUCAGAAAAUGCAAACACAGCAAAAAUAUUUAAGAAACGACUGUAAUUUUUUUUCUGUCUAUGAAGAAAUAACAUUAAAAAUUUGGUGCACACUGAAUAAUGUGCGUAAUGGGUUAUUUAACAGUGUGCACCACAUUUUUUAUGUUAUUUCGAAUAGACAGAAAAAAUAUUACAGUCAUUUCUUAUAAUUUAAUUCUAAAUUCCAUUUUAAACCGUAGAAAACCAUGAAAAAACGUUGAUGACGUCACGGUCACAAGACUAAAUUAUGUCUAUGGGCUCAUAACAAAAUAACGUCAGCCAAUCAGAAGACGCAUUACAUCCAAAAUUAAAUUAUAAUCAAAUAAACAAAUAAACCUGUGACAUUCUGCUUCUUUUGGUAUCUAAAAUUUUUGUAAUGUUCAUAAUGGUUUAAUAACAAAAAUUGUUAUAUCAAAUUCCAUUAUAUAUAUAGAAUCAUGGAUAUCUCAGUAUAGGAUAUAAAAAAUAUCAAAUUGUAGAUAUAUAUGUAUAUCAAAGUGGAUAGUUAAAAAAAGGGUUAGUCUGCAUGCCAGCAAUGCAUGCCAUGUCACAUUAAAUGCAAUCAAAACUUGAGAUAAUCUUGACAAUGAUUAAUAGUAUUAUGCUUUCAAUUUUCUAUUGGCAAUUUUUCCCAAUCUAAUUGUACUAUAUAUUAUAUAAGAAUCUGCUUAAUACACAUUAUAAGUUAAGUCUUUCUAUACCAAAUAAAAGUAAAAAGCUGCUUUAAGAGCAUAUGAUACAC